GAUGAACGCUGGCGGCGUGCCUAAUACAUGCAAGUCGAGCGAACAGACGAGGAGCUUGCUCCUCUGACGUUAGCGGCGGACGGGUGAGUAACACGUGGAUAACCUACCUAUAAGACUGGGAUAACUUCGGGAAACCGGAGCUAAUACCGGAUAAUAUAUUGAACCGCAUGGUUCAAUAGUGAAAGACGGUUUUGCUGUCACUUAUAGAUGGAUCCGCGCCGCAUUAGCUAGUUGGUAAGGUAACGGCUUACCAAGGCAACGAUGCCUAGCCGACCUGAGAGGGUGAGCGGCCACACUGGAACUGAGACACGGUCCAGACUCCUACGUGAGGCAGCAGUAGGGAAUCUUCCGCGAUGGGCGAAAGCCUGACGGAGCAACGCCGCGUGAGUGAUGAAGGUCUUCGGGUCGUAAAACUCUGUUAUUAGGGAAGAACAAAUGUGUAAGUAACUAUGCACGUCUUGACGGUACCUAAUCAGAAAGCCACGGCUAACUACGUGCCAGCCGCCGCGGUAA
rnacentral:rRNA from 1 species